CAGUCGCCGCGGGAAUACGAAGGGGGCUAGCGUUGUUCGGAUUUACUGGGCGUAAAGCGCACGUAGGCGGACUUUUAAGUCAGGGGUGAAAUCCCGGGGCUCAACCCCGGAACUGCCUUUGAUACUGGGAGUCUUGAGUUCGAGAGAGGUGAGUGGAAUUGCGAGUGUAGAGGUGAAAUUCGUAGAUAUUCGCAGGAACACCAGUGGCGAAGGCGGCUCACUGGCUCGAUACUGACGCUGAGGUGCGAAAGCGUGGGGAGCAAACAGGAUUAGAUACCCCGGUAGUCCCUGUCUCUUAUAC
rnacentral:rRNA from 1 species